UUUGUGAUCGAUAAGAUACGUUUUAUACGAAAUUGAACGGAUAAAACGGAACAUUUGCAUGUGUACGCGGGCACACGUUAUAUAAAGCACAACAGGCGCGUGGCGAUCACGAGUGAAAUCGAACUAAAUGGUAAAGUGGAAAUCAAGGUUCAAUAACUCCGUUAUUCGCGGUGUUAAUGGCCGAGCUAAUGCGCAACCCCGGACCAAACGGACGUGUUCCAUGCGAAAACGAUUCACGAGCUACAAUUCUUGUUAUAUUUGUUCUACUUCCCUGCUGAUUUGCAUUGGGGUUGAAUUUUGGCACGAUCGAGAUCGAGGCAUGGCGUUGCUCGACC
rnacentral:misc_RNA from 1 species